rnacentral:rRNA from 1 species
UCCCGUUGAUCCUGCGGGAGAUUGCUGCUAUAGGAGUUCGACUAAGCCAUGCAAGUCAGAGGGUCUCUUCGGAGGCACAGGCUGAAUGCUCAGUAACACGUCAAUAAUCUGCCCUUAGGUUCGGGAUAACUUCGGGAAACUGAAGCUAAAACCGGAUAGGUAAGAAAUACUGGAAUGUUUUUUUACUCAAAAGCAAUGCCUAAGGAUGAGUUGGCGGCUGAUUAGGUUGUUGGUGGUGUAAAGUAUUCUCGCAGAGAAUGAUUAAAAUUCUCUCAGAAUUUUAUAUGACCACCAAGCCUUUGAUCAGUGCGGGCCGUGAGAGCGGGAGCCCGGAGAAGGGUACUUAGACACUGACCCUAGCCCUACGGGGUGCAGCAGGCGCGAAACCUUUACAAUGUACGGAAGUGCGAUAAGGGAACUCCUAGUGCUCAUGCAUUGCAUGGGCUUUUGCCAACUGUAAACAGGUUGGCGAAUAAGUGGUGGGUAAGACGGGUGCCAGCCGCCGCGGUAACACCUGCGCCACGAGUGGCAAUCAUGAUUAUUGGGCCUAAAGCGUUCGUAGCCGGAUUGGUAAGUCUUGGGUGAAAUCGUUACGCUUAACAAAACGACGUGCUUGAGAUACUGUCAGUCUAGGGACCGGGAGGUGUUAGGGGUAUUUCCGAGGGAGCGGUAAAAUGCUAUAAUCUCGGGAGGACCACCUGUGGCGAAGGCGCCUAACAAGAACGGGUCCGACGGUGAGGAACGAAAGCUAGGGGAGCAAACCGGAUUAGAUCCUGAGGUUCUUUUUAUGUUGAUUUUUAUUUUUUGCUUGAUAAAAAAUACUAAAUAAAAAUUAAUAAUUAAAAAUAAUGAAGGACAUAAAACUCAGUUAAAGACCCGAGUAGUCCUAGCUGUAAACGCUGUGUACUAGAUGUUGCAUAUUCUACAUGGAUAUGCAGUGUCGGCACGAAGGUAUUAAGUACACCGCCUGGGAAGUACGGUCGCAAGGCUGAAACUUAAAGGAAUUGGCGGGAGAGCACCACAAGGGGUGCGGCGUGCGGUUUAAUCUAACUUUACGCAGAGAAUCUCACCAGCAGCGACGGCAGGAUGAAGGUCAGAUUAAAUGUCUUACCUAACGAGCCGAGAGGUAGUGCAUGGCCGUCGUCAGCUCGUGCCGUAAGGUGUCCUCUUAAGUGAGGUAACGAGCGAGACCCAUACCCAUAAUUGCCAGCGGGUUCUUUAGAAUGACUGGGCACAUUAUGGGGACUGCCCUGGAAACAGGGAGGAAGGUGUGGGCAACGGUAGGUCUGUAUGCUCCGAAUCUGCUGGGCUACACGCGCGCAACAAUGGCAAGGACAAUAGGAUGCAACACCGAAAGGUGAAGCUAACCCCAGAAACCUUGUCUUAGUUUAGAUUGAGGGUUGUAAUUCAUUCUCAUGACAACGGAAUCCCUAGUAAUCGGACUUCAUCACGGUCCGGUGAAUAUGUCCCUGCUCUUUGCA